AUUGAACGCUGGCGGCAUGCCUUACACAUGCAAGUCGAACGGCAGCACGGGAGCAAUCCUGGUGGGCGAGUGGCGAACGGGUGAGUAAUAUAUCGGAACGUGCCCAGUCGUGGGGGAUAACGUAGCGAAAGCUACGCUAAUACCGCAUACGAUCUAUGGAUGAAAGCGGGGGAUCGCAAGACCUCGCGCGAUUGGAGCGGCCGAUAUCAGAUUAGGUAGUUGGUGAGGUAAAGGCUCACCAAGCCGACGAUCUGUAGCUGGUCUGAGAGGACGACCAGCCACACUGGGACUGAGACACGGCCCAGACUCCUACGGGAGGCAGCAGUGGGGAAUUUUGGACAAUGGGCGCAAGCCUGAUCCAGCAAUGCCGCGUGCAGGAUGAAGGCCUUCGGGUUGUAAACUGCUUUUGUACGGAACGAAACGGUGAGCUCUAAUACAGUUUGCUAAUGACGGUACCGUAAGAAUAAGCACCGGCUAACUACGUG
rnacentral:rRNA from 1 species